CUUCAUCCCUAAAUCCUCUUUUGCUCUUAUUGCCAUGAAGUGUGAAAUAUUAGCACCUGCACUGUCCCCUGCCAAGAACACAUUAUCAAAGUCAACAAACUCAUUCAACCAAACAUCACUCCCCUGUUCUAAUUUAUGUUGAGCCACCCAUUGAAGAACAAACCAAGAAUCAUCAUAAGCUGUUGGAAGAGGAUGUUCUGGAGCUAAUCUAUAAUCAACUGAGACAAGAACAACAUUAGCACAAGACACAAACACAUUAAGAGAAUCAUGGUACUUAGGAUCACCAACAGAGGAUAUACAAAAUGCUCCACCAUGAG
rnacentral:misc_RNA from 1 species